ACAAAUGAGAGUUUGAUCCUGGCUCAGAACGAACGCUGGCGGCGUGCUUAACACAUGCAAGUCUGACGGAGUCAUUUUGAAGUAGCAAUAUGGAAAGAUGACUUAGUGGCGGACGGGUGAGUAACACGUAGG
rnacentral:rRNA from 1 species